rnacentral:rRNA from 1 species
CCUACGGGUGGCUGCAGUGAGGAAUAUUGGUCAAUGGACGAGAGUCUGAACCAGCCAAGUAGCGUGAAGGAUGACUGCCCUAUGGGUUGUAAACUUCUUUUAUAUGGGAAUAAAACGUUCCACGUGUGUGAUUUUGUCUGUACCAUAUGAAUAAGGAUCGGCUAACUCCGUGCCAGCAGCCGCGGUAAUACGGAGGAUCCGAGCGUUAUCCGGAUUUAUUGGGUUUAAAGGGAGCGUAGGUGGAUUGUUAAGUCAGUUGUGAAAGUUUGCGGCUCAACCGUAAAAUUGCAGUUGAAACUGGCAGUCUUGAGUACAGUAGAGGUGGGCGGAAUUCGUGGUGUAGCGGUGAAAUGCUUAGAUAUCACGAAGAACUCCGAUUGCGAAGGCAGUUCACUGGACUGCAACUGACACUGAGGCUCGAAAGUGUGGGUAUCAAACAGGAUUAGAUACCCGUGUAGUC